ensembl:lncRNA
UAAAAAAAAAAAACAUCUUUGUUUACACAUUUAUGCUAGCGUGUCAAUAAUGUGCUGUUUACAUAAUUUAUAAGAUUUAUCAUUUAUUCAUUUAUCAUUUAUUUAUUUAUUUAUUUAUUUAUUUUUUUUUUUUUACAUUUUAUGUUUAAUAAAUAUGUUCUGUUUACUUUAUAUUUAAAAGUUAACAUUAUUGACAUUUAGUUUAUUUUUUCAAUUUUUUAAAAUUUUAUAUUAGUAACAUUAAAUUUUCAAAAAAAAAAAAAGAAAAAAACAGUAUUUCACAUACUGUGGGAUUUAUUAUUUUCAUAAAUAAUAGUAAAACAUAAUUACAUACCUAAAUAAAUAUAUGCACCUACAUAAAUACAUACUUACAUAAAUAUGUACUUAGAUAGAUAUAUACUACUUAUAUAACUAUAUUAUUUACAUACAGUUAUAUGUUCUAUGUGUAUAUAAUAUACGCACAAAUAGAUAGAAAAAAUAAAUGAUUUUAAUAUUUUAUUUAUUUAUAUAUUUCAUUCUAUUUGAAAUUUUAUAAAAUAUUAUUUCUAUAUUUUAAAUAUUGUCUUUAUAUUUAUGAUAAAUAAUUUUAAAUUAAACAUUUUUAAUUCAAAGUUAGCCAAAAACUACGAUAAUAAAGGCAGCAGUAACAACAACAAAAAAAAAAAAAAAAAAAAAAAAAAAACACUUUAGUCAGUUUAUCUUUUAUUAUAUCACAUUUUAUAUAUUCCCAACAAAUUGAUUAAGAUAAAAUAAGUAGAUAUAUAUAUGUACAUACCCCUCCACUUGUCCAUUUUGUUAUUGUAAAAACAUUAAAAUGACUAAUACCUUAAGUAAAGAAAAAAUGAAAAGCGAAUUGGAAGAAAAAAUAAAAACAUGGAAAGAAGUAUCUCAACAUAAGGGAUUACAAAAUAUGUCAAUAGAAAGAUGUUUUAUUAACGUUCAUCAUAAUGAACAUAAUUUUAAAUUAAGAAGGAUGCGUACCAUAGAUACAGGUGACUUAUUAUGUCAUCCUAGAUUAUAUGAGUUACCUAAAAGAAAACUACUUAAUUUGGAUGAAGUUGAAAAUGAUGAAUCUACCAAUGGACAGGAAGAAUCAUAUAUUAAUGAUACGUCUUUAAUGGAUAAUUCUGAUUUUGCUUUUAAAGGAAUUAGCGAAUCAACGUCGUACGGAAGUAGUAUUAAUGGGAGUAAUGAUAUUAGUAAGGUUUCUGAAAAUGGUAAAUAUAAUAAUACUACAAUUGAGAUGGAACCUACCACAGAUAAUAACAGAAGCAUAACAGACGUAAAACACAAAACAGACGCACCAUCACUAAAAACUGGAAGAACCGGAAAAGCCUCACAAAUCGGAAGAAAUUUUCACUUAAACCCCAUCGGAGAACUAUCCUUUGGUACACAAUUCCACUUGAUAGGAUGUUAUUUGGCUGAGUUAUGUCGAUUUUGUCACGACUCUUCACAUGCCCCUGAGGGUACCACGCGUGUAAUCCCUGAUUUUCAAACUUUAGUCACUACGCGUGAUAAACUACAAAAUAGUUUACUAUCCAGCAUACUUGCAAGUUAUAAAACAAAUGCUAGCUGUUCGGUUAAUUCUAAGCGCCCUAAUAACACAUGUAAAGAUAAAUCUUCUAAAGCUUAUCAUAAUAAAAAUAGUAAUAAAAACCAAAUGAAUAGCAAUCAAAACAAUUCACGUGUUAAUAAAAAAAAAUUUAACAAGGUUGCUACCUUUGAAAAUAAUAAAAAAUUAAAUAAUUACACAAGUACAUCAGUCAAUUAUCAAAAUAUAAAUAUAAAAAAUAUGGUAAUUAAUUAUAAAAAUAAUCAGUAUAUACACGUAAAUAAUGUUCAAAACGAAAAUAUAAUUCAGCUUCAAUGCUCUAAUAGCAAUACAUGUGUAGAUCCCCAUCAACAAAAUAUGUGUAAUAAUGCUUAUAGUUGUAAUCAACCUAUUCUUACAAGAGUGCCAAACUAUUUGCAAUUUAUCACAUUAGCAAAUUAUCCACAGAAUGUUAAUAUAAUUAACAGUUAUGGUUAUAGACAGUACAACUAUUUUAAUAUGUACAAUAAUUUUCACUUCAUGCAAAAUGUUAGCUCUUACAAGGAAUUCAACUUAGUUUCAUGAAAAAGGUUGAAAAAAAAAAAAAAAAAAAAAAAGCGACAUGUGCGUACAUAUUAUAUAUAUAUUAACUAGUGAAUCGCUUAUUUUAUUUUAUUUUAUUAUUUUUUUUUUUUUUUUUUUUUUUUACACUUCCUUAUUGAGCCAUAACUUUAAAUAUAGUAUAUAUGUAUACAUGGUAUAUCUGUAUAUAUAGUUAUACAUUUUUGUGUUUGAGCGUGUUAGUAGGAACUCGUACGUAAUUGCACCUACACCGCCGUUUGUCAUACUCACGUUAGGCAUCAAUAUAUAUAUAUAUAUAUAUAUAUAUAUAAGUAAACUAAGCACAUUAUAU